UGGCUUAAAAAGAUGUUUGAGUGCAAAUCAAACGGUGGGUUUAGAUGGCCCUUGAGCCU
rnacentral:tRNA from 1 species